GUUGCCAUGUUUUUUCCAGUUCAAAAGACAACAUUUCGUUUCAGGAGGAAAAAACAAAGUAAGUCUCUGCAGUGACGUAUAGAUAGAAAUAGAUGCAUGCAUGUGUGUAUCAAUACAGAUAAUAGCUGCUCUUUUCAAAAGGAAAUAAGACACAGAACUUCGUUAGGUGCAAUGAAGGGCGGUCUAAGGUUUAAUAACAGCAGGUAACAGCAGGUAGCAAAAACUUUACGCUCGACUAUGGACAAGCUAAUAAUUUCCUCUGGAUGGCCAUGUAAUUAAUCCCUGAGAGAGGUGGUGUAGCUGUGUUAAUGGCUGAUCAUUUGAAUGCACACCGCGAGGCAUUCGGGACAGACGGACGGAGCAGACUUCCCUCUGGCUCAAAAUCAGAUGCGAUUCUGGCUGCGUUCCAAAU